rnacentral:rRNA from 1 species
UACGUAGGGCGCAAGCGUUGUCCGGAUUUAUUGGGCGUAAAGAGCUCGUAGGCGGUCUGUCACGUCGGCUGUGAAAACCCGAGGCUCAACCUCGGGCCUGCAGUCGAUACGGGCAGACUAGAGUGCGGUAGGGGAGACUGGAAUUCCUGGUGUAGCGGUGAAAUGCGCAGAUAUCAGGAGGAACACCGGUGGCGAAGGCGGGUCUCUGGGCCGUAACUGGACGC